GUAGGGAAUAUUGGACAAUGGAUGCAAGUCUGACCCAGCCAUCCCGCGUGCCGGAAGAAGGCCCUCAGGGUUGUAAACGGCUUUUGACGGUGAAGAAUCGACAGGAUGCGUCCUGUUUUGACGGUAGCCGUUGAAUAAGCACCGGCUAACUCCGUGCCAGCAGCCGCGGUAAGACGGAGGGUGCGAGCGUUGUCCGGAUUUAUUGGGUUUAAAGGGUGCGUAGGCUGUAAGGUCAGUCAGCGGUGAAAAGCUGUCGCUUAACGAUAGUCUUGCCGCAGAUACUUCCUUUCUUGGAUGAGGAGGAGGCCACUGGAACGGAUGGUGUAGCGGUGAAAUGCAUAGAUAUCAUCCAGAACACCGAUUGCGAAGGCAGGUGGCUGUACCUUAAUCGACGCUGAUGCACGAAAGCAUGGGGAGCAAACAGGAUUAGAUACCCCAGUAGUCC
rnacentral:rRNA from 1 species